UACGGAGGGGGCUAGCGUUGUUCGGAAUUACUGGGCGUAAAGCGCACGUAGGCGGCUUUGUAAGUUAGAGGUGAAAGCCCGGGGCUCAACCCCGGAACUGCCUUUAAGACUGCAUCGCUUGAAUCCAGGAGAGGUGAGUGGAAUUCCGAGUGUAGAGGUGAAAUUCGUAGAUAUUCGGAAGAACUCCAGUGGCGAAGGCGGCUCACUGGCCUGGUAUUGACGCUGAGGUGCGAAAGCGUGGGGAGCAAACAGG
rnacentral:rRNA from 1 species